GACGAACCGUGCGAACGUUAUUCGGAAUCACUGGGCUUAAAGCGCGUGUAGGCGGGAUGGCACGUCGGUCGCUGAAAGCCCCCGGCUCAACCGGGGAAGUGGCGCCGAUACGACCACCCUGGAGGGACGUAGGGGGACCUGGAACUUCCGGUGGAGCGGUGAAAUGCGUUGAGAUCGGAAGGAACGCCCGUGGCGAAAGCGGCAUCCUGGACCGACAUUGACGCUGAUGAGCGAAAGCUAGGGGAGCAAACGGG
rnacentral:rRNA from 1 species